GAGGCUGUAUCAAGCCAGAACAGAAUACAAACAGAUUUCAUAAACAGUCACGUAAACAGUGUUCUUGCAUAUUUGAAGGAGAUAAUGGACUGCUCCAUACAAGACUGUGAAGAAGUUGAUCAUGCACGUCAUCAUCAAUUCAUAAAAAAUCCUUAUUUGAUGUAAAAGGAGUUUACAAAAAAGUUCUGUUUUGGGGAGAAAUUUAUAAGCUCAGGGGUUAUGGAGCAUCUACAAACAGUGCUGACAGAAAAAGUGUGUGUCAGCAAGCCAGUACCUAGAUCCAUCUUCAAAAGAUACAGUUCAUAUCAACACCUGCAAAAUCAACACCUGGAAAAUAUCCUGAUAGAAAACAUGUUUAUGGGUGUGUAUUACAUGAACCUGGUGUUGAUUAAAGAGGCCAUAGUAUAUCUCAUAUGUAAGAGAAGUGGCCUACCAUAUGAAGCAGCAGAUGAGAGAUGCACUCUCACAGAGCGAUCAGUACAGGAUCAAAUUACUAAAAAAUAUACCUGAAUUCCAUUAUAUUUUAACUCUGAUGACCAAUGAAAUUUUCAUCAUAACAACUACAUCAAUCAUGAUUUCAAUAUAAUAUUAAAAAUCUUAGUAUGUACAUGUAUAGGUGUGUCACAUAAAUUUUUCUUACAAAUUACAAUGCAAAAAAAUUCAAUGUAUCAAAAGCUUAAGUACAGGUGUAUCAAUUAAUAGUGUGCUCAGUAGAAUGUAUUGAUAGCCUAAUACUUUAUAGAUACAAAUGUGUCACAUAUAUUGUACUUGGUAGACUGUAUCAAUAGCCUAGGGUACUGGACCCUUACCUGUCAUGUAGUACUCAAUAGACCAUAUCAAUAGCCUAGGGUACUGGACUCUUACCUGUCCUGUAGUACUCGGUAGACCGUAUCAAUAGCCUAGGGUACUGGACUCUUACCUGUACUGUCGUACUUUGUAGACAGUAUCAAUAUCCUAGGGUAUUGGACUCUAAGCUGUCUUGCAGUACUCGGUAGACCGUAUCAAUAGCGUAAGGUAUGGAUCUCAUACCUGUCCUGUA